GGUGCCGUGGCUCGGAGGCGCUUUGGAGGCGUUGAUGGCAUCGCUGGGUUCGGUUUGCAGCGGGUGUCCGCUAAGGGAUACGGUGUUCUUCCUGAGUGGGCACGGUUCUCGGUGCCGGAUACUCAGAAAAUAUGUCUCCCUUAGAGUCCCACAGAAACGUUCUCAGUGCGAUCUCUAUCAAGUGCUAUGAGUCUUGAUCAAUUGGAGAAGAGCCCAAGAGAAAUUUUUCAUCCCUUGAUAUAAAAGGGAUCGGUGAAUUUUAACUUUGGAGUCCCCUAUGCUAAGGAUGCUCAGCUUACAGGUGAUGAAAUGUUCAGUAAUGUAUUUGCUGCAGCUCUGCUUACCCAAGCUUUGGGUUCCUUCUGUCCCACUGGGAGUUGCCCAAUUUGGUUGCAUCUGGUGAAAUUCACCCUGAGACCUUACAGAACCAGCUCCAACUACGUGAGAGCCAUUUGCAGUUCUCUCCAGAUGCCUGGAGAAUGGGUGACGUUUCUGAGGAUCCGGCGAGCGUGCUUCUAUCAAAACUCAGUCUGUGAAAUUCCUGGGGAAAACCCUUCUGUGUCCUGAAGGGUUCAAACUCUGGUGAGGAUCCAGUUAUCAGGUGCUCACCUGGAUGGUUCCAGCUCCCAAAGGGAAAGACUCUCGUAUCCUUGUCGUCGGGCUCGGUGCUGUCCAAGAAGAUACGGGGACUAAAAAAAUCAUAAGAAGCAAAAUACGACUGCAGGGAAAAGAAGCUGGAGAGAACAGAAGAGCCCUGUUGUACUAAUCUUCAUACAAGUACAAAACAACAAAUCAGACCCUGUCCCAAGCACUUAGAGGCCAGAACACGAUUUCCUCGGGCUGCCAUUUGUGUGCCAUCGGUACUCACCGUGGAAGGGAGCUGGGGAUUGUUGCAGCUGUUGGGAACAAACCGCUUCUCGUCACACAGAAAUGGAAUUGGGAUGACGCCUCGGCCAGCCCCUCUCUGCCAUCGUCUCCUGAAUCUGCAGCAGAGCAGUUCCAGUCCAUCCGGGCACGUGUAAUCCAGUUCCUGAUGAUCUGAGCACACGGGGCAGCGCUCAGCUGCUGUGGGGGGCUCACGGAAGGCAGAGUGUGCAUUGUCAUCUUCCUGAACCUACAGACAAAUCAAAGUGAGAAGCCACAGCGUGGAAAUCAGUCACAUAUAUGCUAAAUAAAACUUGCAGAUUUUUUUAAGAA